AAGAGACAGCGCCGCCGGCCGUGGGGAGCGGACGCAGUGAUUUGCUCCCCCUCGUGCAGCAACCCCCACACCCAGCACCAGGUGGGUGUGAGCUGGCGACCCGGUCACGCAGCGGGGAGCCGCGGUAACGGGAUGGAGGGUGAAAGUGGGGUCCGGGCGGCCACACCCAGCCCUUCCGGGAGGAGAAGGGGCGGCGGGGGCAGGGGCGCCUCGGGGAGAGGGGCCUGGACUGGCCGGGUUAGUGUGUCAGGAGCUACGAGGAAAGAGUCUGGGACGGGAGUCGUGGCGGAAGGGCUGGCGGAGUGGCGGGGGGCGGGGGGAGAGCCGAGGGGCCGGAGGGCCGGGGGCGGCUCACCCGGCGGCCCCCGGUCUGAGGAUACAGGGGCCGGCCAUCUAGCCUGGGGAGGGUCUGGACCCCCCGAGCGGGCGGCGAGGAGGUGCUUUGCCUCUGCCGGCGUUCACUGGGUCAGGGCCAGUUCAGCGCCCUGGCAGGGAAGGGGUCGCUGGGCGGGCCGGCCCCUCCUCUCGUUCUCUCCAGGGGAUGUUAUGUAAGGGGGGAGGGGAGAGGAGUAGGGGGCGGCGGUGCCGGGGCCUUAUGCAACCCAAAGGUUAGGGUUUCACCGUGGUUGGGCGGGGGGAAGAGGGCAAGAGGAGGGCCUGGAAACUCUAACCCCCGCUCCCCAGACUAACUGGCCGUCUUGGGCCGAGAGAAGGUCACCUCUGCACCUCCCCCCAGCCUGUCCGAUUGUGAGGCCCCUAGCCCAGGCCUGGCCCUGACUGCCUGGGAAGCCGGCUGGCUGGGUGGGGCGCCUGGGUUAGUCAUCACUGGGCUGCCUCUCUCCCCACCUCUCGGCCAACUCUUGGCCCCUCCCCAUGGCCUCCGGCGAGGCUGUCACCCCCACCUCCCUCCGGCCCUGGUUCCAGCCUCCAACUCCUUUGGCCUGUCAUCCUGGCUGUCAGAUUGGGCUAGGAGCUGUCAGAGUGCCAGAGGGUUGAUGGAGCAGCUGGUCAGAGGGUCAGUGCCCUGGGCCCACCCCGCCCUGCAGCCAAGGGCACCUGCUUGGCACAGACUCUCAGCAGCUGCUGAGUCCUCUGGGUUGAACAGAGCUAUCUCAGACAGAGGAAGGUCGGACGGAGUUGGACUGGUCACCCAGGGGAAGGAAGAUACACAAAGUUCAUGCCUCCCAAGAGGGUUUCGGAAUUUGAACCGCACCCCGUAUCCCCCAAUCUUUCUUACCCUCUGAGUAUAGAAAUUCCAAGGCAAGACCGCCUUGGCCCCUCAGCCUGGCGUGGGCCAUGCCCUUGGACUGAGUGUCAGCACGGACCCGCCCUCCCCAGCUCACAUCCCCCGAGCCUGCCACGCCCCCAGCCCCCUCCCUGGGCCAUGCUGCAGGGCCCGGCUUUUCCUGCUGAUUCAUGCGUUGGAACUGUGGGGGCGGGGCUUGGAACUUGGAACAAAGUUCAGACAUGGAGGGGCCGGCAGACAGCCUGGAAUUCAUACCAGAUGUACCCGGAAUGCGCAAGCGGAAUGCCUGGCAUCUGAGAGUCCUGGGGAAGCUGCCCAGCCACCCUGCCCAUACCUCCCUCCCCUCCAGCCUGUGGUCCCCUGCCCGCCCCUCACAGCCCCGGCCACCCUGCCGAUACCUCCCUCCUCUCCAGCCUGUGGUCCCCUGUCCGCCCCUCACAGCCCCGGGGGCCUCUGCUGACCUUCUUUCAAACGCUAGGCCUCCUCCCUUCCUCACUCUUCCCCAAUCCAGGCCCCCAGAACUCUCCUUCCAGCUGAACUCCCUGGGAACAAGUCAGUUGGGCUGAUCACUGAACUCACAUUUCUGGACCUGAGGUACCACACUUCUAGUACCUGCGUGCUGGUGGGGUGUGUCCAGGGUCCCGGGCCCCACCCUGUCUGAAUGCUGAGGAGGCUGGGCCCCCAGGGGCCGCUAGGGCAGGGGAGGGUGAGAGCAGGACUGGGUUUCUCUAGACUCCAGUUCUGGAAAGAAGAGCAAGGGAAGUCUGUUUACAGCCACCUCUUGCUGCUCAGCGAGGUUAACAGCUUCCGCGGGCCCAGAUCAGAGCUGCAGCCCUGCAUUAGAAUCUCAGAGGUCUACUGGGGCAGGACCCUGAUGGCCAGCGAGUGGGUCAGCGUUGCAGCAACAUGCCCUGCUCAGAUCUUUCCCAUUUUCCCUCCCUUUCCCUUAGGAGCCUGUUCCUCUCACGCCCUCACCUGGCUGAGCCGCAGUAGUUCUUCAGUGGCAAGCUUUAUGUCCUGACCCAGCUAAAGCUGCCAGUUGAAGAACUGUUGCCCUCUGCCCCUGGCUUCGAGGAGGAGGAGGAGCUGCUUUCCCCAUCAUCUGGAAGGUGACAGAAAUGGGCUGGGAAGGUCCGAACAGCAGGGUGGAUGAUACGUUUUGGGCAAGUUGGAGAGCCUUUGCCCAGAUUGGCCCAGCAAGGAGCGGUUUUAGAUUAGAGACACUGGCUGGAUUGAGGAGUAGAAGGCUCAAACAACCCAAGGUUAGUUGGUCUUUGUGUGACAGUGGGAAGAAGUGGAGAGAACACUCUGUCUCCCCGACUUCCUUCUUGACCCUCCUUCCGUAUCUUUCAUUCUUCCCCACUGGCCUUUCCAGAUGAGGUCCAAAAGUAAGCUCACUCUUCAGGGAAAAGUGAUACUAAACCCAGGCGUGAGGAGUCAUCCUUCUGCUCUUACUUUUCCCUGCAUUUCCUUAGGCUGGCCCAGACUCUAGAUUCCUGGGCACUUACCUGUAUCUGAGACCCUUAGACCUCCUGUCUCAGUUUCUCCACCUGUGAGAUGGGCAGUCACACAGAUGAGUGUGCAUGAGGGAAUCAGAAGCCCAUCUGGGUUGACUCAGAACCCGGGCUCUCCCCCUGCUGUGGGUGGAAACAAAACACCUUUUCACAGAAGCUGUUGUCCCUCCCCCAUCCCUGAUACCAUCACCCAGAAGCUGGGUGGGGAAUGGGAAGCUGGAGGAGGGGGUUAGAGUUAGACCAAUGCGAGGAGCUAGUAAGAGCUCGCCUCUCCGUGACUUCCCCCCAUGCAAGGGUGGCCCAAGGCUUCCCCUGAUAUCCAAAGCAGGACAGCAGCCCCUUGGUGGGAUUCUAACUGCUGCUACUCUGUUUCUUUCCUCACUUUGCUUUCCAAGGUGGUAUGUGAUCCCCAGCUCAGGCCUGUGCAGACAGGAAAUUCUCCCCUGCAGCAAGUAGGGGAGGUGGGUUGUGGGAUGUGACCUCCUUCCAGAUAUCAGGCAGUGAGUGUAAACCUGCCACCUCCAGCCCUGAUCCAUUCUCACCUAGCGGCUACAGGAAGCUGUGUCUGUUCGAUUUGGUGGGAGGAGAUGUGCAGGGAGCUGUAUCUUGUCCUCCGCUUGUGAAAAACUCAAGGAUGUGGAGAAGAGUAGACCGUGGAACCCUGCUCUUCUGCAGCCAAGCUGAGGGGCAGGAUGCGUGUGGGACAGUGGUAGAGAAGCAGGGGAUAGACUCAUAGGCUGCAACAAAGGUGACUCUGUCCCUGGACACUGCCUCCGUACUUUCUCCUUGCUUCACUGGCCACAGCAUCUCCCUCCAGCCCUCGCUAUGUGCCUCUGCCAUCUUCACCCAUCAUGGAGCAGAGGUGAGGAGAGGCAGCCUGGGAAUAUGGAGACCAGUGAAGGACCAGGCCUGGAGAGCACAGGGUCCUACCUGGGCAUCCAGCAGAGGAGCCCCUAAAGGCCAGGAGCACCCCAAGAGGAGGGAGGGCAGCCAGCCUCCAUUGACGGCGAGCCUCCAGCCCUCUCCUACUUUGAUCACCAUUUCUCUCCAGGCUUUCUGCCUCCGAGAUGUGGCACCAUAGUGCGGUGCCCUGUGGCUUCACCGCCCUACUUCCACCUCCGCCCAGCCUGUAAUGUUUAUAUAAGCAGCCUCAAGGACCAAGAACCAUCUGCGAAAGGACACACACAGGAAAUUCAUAAAAGAAAUCUGAAUGGAUAAAACCAUGAAAAAAAGUAUGCUUCAUUAGUAAUUAAAGAAAGGCAAAUAGAGCUGGAAGCAUUUUUCCCUUAGCAAACCAUAACAGAAAAAAAUAAGACCCAAUAUUGGCAAAGAGACUACUGAAAAAACAUUCCCAUACAUUGCGUGUGGGAGUAUACAUCGGUGCAGGCUUCCUGGAUGACAGUUGGGUGAUAUGUGUCAUGUGGCCUAAAAGCCUCCAUGUCAUUUGACCUACGAAUUCUAUCUUUGGGAAUUUAUCCUAAGAAAAUACUUAAGGAUUUAGUUAGUGAUAAGAUGUUCAUCCCAGCAUUGCAAUGGAGAAAAAUGGGAAGCAAUGGUUUGGUUGGGAAUUUAUUCCUUUUCUGCUGUAACGAAAGUUUGCAAUAGGGGAUUGCUUAAGUAAAUUAUUGUAUCUCCAUCCAGAUGGUGGAGUACCGCGCAGACAUUAAAAGUCAUGUAAAAGAACAUCUGACUGAAAGAAAAAUGCUCCUUGAAUAUUAAAAGGUUGUAAAAAUAGUGCAUGUUAUGUGAUUUCAAUUUUGUUUUUUAAAAUAUGGGUGUAUGCUUGUAUACGUAGAGCAGAUAAAAAAGACGGAAGGCAUACUAAAAAAUGUUGAGUGGUUAUCUUUGUAUGGUGGAACAAAGUCACUGUAAUUUUCAUCUUUGGUUUUUCUGUAAUUUCCAAAUUUUCCACAUUUUGUAUUUCAUAUAAUAUAAUUUAAGAGAUCAGUGUUAUUAUUUAAACCUUUGGAGAGGUGGGGGUAGAAGAAUGAAGGGAAGACCUCAGCUUUUUGGUGAGAAGGUUUGGUUGGGGCACCUCUUGGUUUAUGAACUUAAUUCUUUGAAGUAGCUGGAAUCCUCCCUCUCAGCCUGCAGGAAACAGCUCUGACUUGCUGACUGUCUGCCAGCUGAAGAGGUGGAGUGGAGUAAGGUGGAAGGAAAGCAGUGCAACCUGGGGCUCUUCAGGUGGUGAGGGGCUGGGGGAGGCUCUUCCUCUUAAGGCUGGAGGGUUCUGGAAUCCUAACCGCCCUGCUACUAAGAGCAGGACAGGUCUGUUUUUCUCUUCUGACUCUGUCCCAGCCUUGAAGGGACCCUGUGUUACCUUUCCUUGCCCUCGGAUUGAAGAUAUUCUACCCACCCAACGGGUACCAAGCCCUUGGGGAAGGAAGUGCUUUUCAAGACUGGGGGCCAGCGAUUCCCUUUUGCGUCCUCUUCCUAAUGAGGCUCCUCCGUAGGGCCGAAAACAAUGCUGGGGGUCGGGGCGGGGCCCAGUGGGUCGCUUCUCCAACAUGGGGUCUCCUGGGGGUUGUGGGGGAGGGGGAGCAGAACUGCUGGAAUUACAGGUUUGCCGGGAUAUGGUAAAGGCGUGGAAACCU
rnacentral:lncRNA from 1 species